rnacentral:lncRNA from 1 species
CCCAAUCAUGGUGUGCUUGAACUUUGAAGCACCUCUGGGACUGAAAUUUGAUCGAUCUCCAUUCCUUUUCAGAAGUAUAUGGUUCACAAAUUUCAGACUUGCCCACUUGAUGGUCGGAUCAUGUUUCAUGCAAUACAUCACAAUAAGCAUCAGCAUGCAGAAAUUUAGGCAGCAUGCUACCUGCUAUUUUGCAUGGAAAAAACGAGGUGCGGAGAUCAUAG